rnacentral:lncRNA from 1 species
UCAUAUCAUUGGUCACUAGUCGUAAUCACAAGUACUCCUCACAUCUUCAGCUCUAACACAUUGUAUCACAUAAUAAACAUAUUGUACCUCAUAGGACCUACUACAUUCUCUUAGGACCUACUAUAUUCUCUAAGGUAAAAUAGCAAAAAACAAGAUAGCCCCUCGCUCUCCAUUAUGGAGAAUGCAGAUUAUCCUGUCUCCAAUUCUUGCCUUUCGCUUAAUGUUGCUUGCAAGAACCUCCUUACGAAUGUCCAAACAUUUUUUCCACUCUUUGAUUAGCAUGUGUUCACCGGUUUCAGAAAUUCGAUAUGCACAGGUGAGAUCCGUAGGAUGACCUGGCUGUAGGUUCAGAACUUCAAGGCGACCAUUCUAAUACAUCAGAUGAGGCACACAAUCCAUCGGGAUUUUCUGUUGAAAAACAUAGUAAUAACUUCGUAGUUAGCAAUGAUGUACUAGUUUUAGAAGUAUAUAAAAGAUGCACGGAUGUCGUAAUAGUAAAAUAUCUUACCAGGGUAUCUCCAUAGAAGUUAUCGUGGUUCAACACGUGCACUAGUGGCACGUAUUCACCAUAAUUUG